rnacentral:rRNA from 1 species
UACUCCUACGGGAGGCAGCAGUGGGGAAUAUUGGACAAUGGACCGAGAGUCUGAUCCAGCAAUUCUGUGUGCACGAUGAAGUUUUUCGGAAUGUAAAGUGCUUUCAGUUGGGAAGAAAAAAAUGACGGUACCAACAGAAGAAGUGACGGCUAAAUACGUGCCAGCAGCCGCGGUAAUACGUAUGUCACGAGCGUUAUCCGGAUUUAUUGGGCGUAAAGCGCGUCUAGGUGGUUAUGUAAGUCUGAUGUGAAAAUGCAGGGCUCAACUCUGUAUUGCGUUGGAAACUGUAUAACUAGAGUACUGGAGAGGUAAGCGGAACUACAAGUGUAGAGGUGAAAUUCGUAGAUAUUUGUAGGAAUGCCGAUGGGGAAGCCAGCUUACUGGACAGAUACUGACGCUGAAGCGCGAAAGCGUGGGUAGCAAACAGGAUUAGAUACCCUGGUAGUCCACGCCGUAAACGAUGAUUACUAGGUGUUGGGGGUCGAACCUCAGCGCCCAAGCAAACGCGAUAAGUAAUCCGCCUGGGGAGUACGUACGCAAGUAUGAAACUCAAAGGAAUUGACGGA